CAGUAGCCACGGGAAUACGGAGGAUGCGAGCGUUAUUCGGAAUCAUUGGGUUUAAAGGGUCUGUAGGCGGGCUAUUAAGUCAGGGGUGAAAGGUUUCAGCUUAACUGAGAAAUUGCCUUUGAUACUGGUAGUCUUGAAUAUCUGUGAAGUUCUUGGAAUGUGUAGUGUAGCGGUGAAAUGCUUAGAUAUUACACAGAACACCGAUUGCGAAGGCAGGGGACUAACAGACAAUUGACGCUGAGAGACGAAAGCGUGGGGAGCGAACAGGAUUAGAGACCCCCGUAGUCCCUGUCUCUUAUAC
rnacentral:rRNA from 1 species